UCAUUCAUUUUUCAUACUCGAGAGUUUACGUGAGCCGCUUGCAGAUACAAAACUCUUCGUUCAUAUUUUCCUUUCAGAUUAUCAUAAUUUUUUUCCUAUCUGAAAAGGCUUUUCUUUAUCGAUUCGUUGGAACUUUUAUCAUAUUCUGAUCUGAACGAGGUUGAUAGUUGAUUUCUUGUCACUGAUUGAUCAAGGAUUUUUAAUUUUUUUAAUUGUCGAUUGAAUGUUCUAAUGGAGUCU